rnacentral:lncRNA from 1 species
GGGCCGGCGAGGGUCUGCUUUUCAUUAAAGUGCGGCCGGGGCACGCCAACGCUUCUUUGAACAAAACAAGCACGGUUCACGGCAAGGUUAGGAGGAGGCGGGGCGAGGAGGAUGUGAUCUGUCCUCCGAGGAACACGGAGCACUAUGCUAUGCUGGAAACCAGUACUUCAGCUGGAGGAGAAAAGCUUUGGUGAUUGCCCAAAGGAUUGAAUUGGGGAAAUCUUCAAGCACCACAUAGAUGUUCUGCCCCCACCCA